rnacentral:lncRNA from 1 species
AUUUUUUUAAUUAUAGCCUGAGAAGCCAAUGAAAAGGAGAGAAAAAUAUUAGAAACCUAUUCAUCCAAGAUGCUUUCAUGGUUUAUGGCUAAUAUGUAUCCUGCUAGAAAAUUUACACCAGGCUGUCAUACAUCGCCAUCAAAUGGAGAAGAAUUCUGGGAAGCUUGCCUAAGUAUCAUACUGCAGGAGAUUCUGAUUAGCACAUACUAACAUUCGAAUGAUUCAUGGAAUGUGGGAAGAACUGAAGUGGAUAUGCUUCUCAAUAGAGCCUUAAAACUCAAAAGACUUGCUUCUGACUGAACCGGAAAGGGGAUUUUAACAUGGAAGAAGGAGCCUAUCAACUACAGCCCACCUGCCUUCUUUGAUAUGAAAACUGCAAUGAGAACUCUGCCAGUCUUCAUGUGUCAAGAGAUAAUUGCUUGAGACAGAAAGCAGAAUAUUUUGUUAAUGUCAUCAAUUCUUCCCUCUAAGCUGAACAACAUAUCAUACUGACAAAAGAGUGCCUUAAACCUGAACAAGUUUGUGAACCAUCAACAGGUUUCUUCACCUUCCUAUUAUAAGACUAUUCUCUUCCUGAUCCCAAAACAAAAGAAUGUAAAUGAAGUUUACAUUCAAGAGAUGUAGGGCAGAAUUUCAGCUUCUCCUGCACAUUGUGUGGCCAUUCAAAUCCAGUAACACUUAUUCUGAGCUCCAGUGGAAAAUAUCUGGAAAGCUUGUCCUUCCUGCCCUAUUAAAUGAUGAAAGG